GCUCACCAAGGUCGAUGACGGGUAGCGGGUCUGAGAGGAUGAUCCGCCACACUGGUACUGAGACACGGACCAGACUCCUACGGGAGGCAGCAUUGAGGAAUAUUGCACAAUGGGGGAAACCCUGAUGCAGCAACGCCGUCGUGGAGGAUGACGCAUUUCGGUGUGUAAACUCCUUUUAUAUAGAUAAGAAGAUGACGGUACUAUAUGAAUAAGCACCGGCUAACUCCGUGCCAGCAGCCGCGGUAUAUACGGAGGGUGCAAGCGUUAUCUCUGGACAUCACUGGGCGUAAAGCGACGCGUAGGCUGUUUAGCAAGUCAGAUGUGAUAAUCCUAUGGCUUAACCAUAGAACUGCAUUUGAAACUGCUAGACUAGAGUAUGGGAGGGGGAGAUGGAAUUAGUGGUGUAGGGGUAAAAUCCGUAGAUAUCACUAGGAACACCCAAAGCGAAGGCGAUCUCCUGGAACAUUACUGACGCUAAGGCGUGAAAGCGUGGGGAGCAAACAGGAUUAGAUACCCUGGUAGUCCACGCCCUAAACGAUGAACACUAUUCGUCGGGGUGCUUGUCAUCUCGGUGAUGCAGUUAACACAUUAAGUGUUCCGCCUGGGAGUACGGUCGCAACGAUUAAAACUCAAAGGAAUAGACGGGGACCCGCACAAGUGGUGGAGCAUGUGGUUUAAUUCGAUAGAUACGCGAAGAACCUUACCUGGCCUUGACAUUGAUAGAAUCCUGUAGAGAUACGGGAGUGCCCUUCGGGGAGCUUGAAAACAGGUGCUGCACGGCUGUCGUCAGCUCGUGUCGUGAGAUGUUGGGUUAAGUCCCGCAACGAGCGCAACCCUCGUCCUUAGUUGCCAGCAGUUCGGCUGGGCACUCUAAGGAGACUGCCUACGCAAGUAGGAGGAAGGUGAGGACGACGUCAAGUCAUCAUGGCCCUUACGGCCAGGGCUACACACGUGCUACAAUGGGGCGUACAGAGAGUUGCGAUACCGCGAGGUGGAGCUAAUCUCAUAAAGCGUCUCUCAGUUCGGAUUGUUCUCUGCAACUCGAGAGCAUGAAGCUGGAAUCACUAGUAAUCGUAGAUCAGCUAUGCUACGGUGAAUACGUUCCCGGGUCUUGUACUCACCGCCCGUCACACCAUGGGAGUUGAUUUCGCCCGAAAUCGGGAUGCCAAACCGGCUACCGCUUACGGUGGAA
rnacentral:rRNA from 1 species